rnacentral:rRNA from 1 species
CGUUCCCGGGUCUUGUACACACCGCCCGUCACACCACGAGAGUUUGUAACACCCGAAGUCGGUGGGGUAACCGUAAGGAGCCAGCCGCCUAAGGUGGGACAGAUGAUUGGGGUG